ensembl:snRNA U6 U6 spliceosomal RNA
AUGCUCGCUUCAUCAGCACAAAAACUAAAAUUGGAACGAUACAGAGAGGAUCAGCAUGGUGCCCACACAAGGAUGACACGCAAAUUCGUGAAGCCUUCCAUAUUUAA